AUGAUAGCCUUAGAGACUGAAGUCCUGUGUGUAGCACAGGCAAUGGCAGUGCAUGCCUCCCCACCAAUGUGUCUCAAACCUGACUCACAGGAACCACUUCUAGGCACAAAGGGUGAUUUAGUCUCUAGGGCACAUUCUAGUUUUGUCUUUA
rnacentral:sRNA from 1 species